rnacentral:lncRNA from 1 species
AAAUGAAGUCAGAGGAAGAAGCAAUUAAAUCCAGAGGAAAAGAAGAGUGGAAAUGCUGUUGGGGAACCUUUGCGUGUAUCACAGCAGCACUGGGAGGAUGCAGUGUGGAACUCAAUUGUGGGGAAGUAGAAGGUGAGGGAUGCAUUGACACCCACCACUUUAAUGCCAGAUACGAAAAAAAGAAAGAAGAAAUUGAAGUAAACAUCUGGAGGAGACUACUAGCUAUAAACCCUCUAAUACAGCCAGCCUCCUCAGAAGCAGAAGCCACUAUGCUUCCUGUACAGCCUGCAGAACCAUGAGCCAAGUAAAUCUCUUUGAUUUAUAAAUUACCCAGUUUCAGAUAUUUCUUAAUAGCAAUGCAAGAAUGGAAUAAUACACAAAACUUUACUACUCAAUCUGGAUUUUGAU